AAAUUUGGGGAAAUUUGGGGUCGGGGUGUUACAGGACCCGAUCCAAAUUCCACUUUAGAAUUCGUGUCGGACCCCGUGCGUGUCCGACACCUGGCGAAUGUCGGGCACAAAAGACCUUUUUACCCUUCCAGUUACAACUAAGAUUUAAAAUUUUCCCUGGACUCCUACCGAAAAUUCGGUAGAGUCUGUCCUCUAAUUUGUCCAAACCCAAAAAUUUUCACUUGUCAAACAAGCAAAUAACUUUACACCCAAUUGCCAGAAUAAGUAAACAAGGUAUCCAACAGUUCUGGUUCUCAACUCUAACCAGAUAUCAGAGCAGUUACUAAUAUUUACAAGAAAUUAAGCGUUUUACAACAAAAUCCUACAUUUCGUAGGUGGCGCGGGAGCUAAGAGAACGCCCGGUGGUGGAUUCUUGUGCACGUCUACUGCCUGGGGCGCAAAACAUUUGAAAGUGUGAGUGGACAAAAAUAGAGUUCUCGAAACAAAUUAUGAACAUAAUAACCCCCACUGUAAAAACAAAUAUAUAUAAAAAAACUAGACUUUUUCCUAUUCACUAUAUUCAUAUUAAAAAUCAAAGCAUUCUCAUAUAUACAUAUGUAAAACAUGCUCAAUGUCGAGAAAACUCGCAUAAAAUUACUGUAAUCAAUAUUCGCAUAAAAGCACUGAAAUCCCUUUAAAACUACCACCUAGGUGUACCCCUGUAAUUCCGUCAAUUCCCCUGGCAGGUCUCGGCGACACACAGUCUAUCCGAGCCGCAAACUAGCAGGAUUCAGGGGACCGCAGUCAGCCUGAUCUGCUGGCAGGUCUCGGUGACACAAAGUCAACUCGAGCCGCAACUGGCAGGAUUCAGGGGCCCGUAGUCAGCCUGAUCCGCAAUCCUGGCAGGUCUCGGGACACCAAGUCAAUCCGAGCCGCAAAUCCUGGCAGGUCUCGGGACACCAAGUCAAUCCGAGCCGCAAAUCCUGGCACUCACGGUCCGGGCAUCCCCGAAAAUCGUGAGGCAAAUGUCAAGUGCACUGACAAAACUGAGGGUAAACUAGAUGUCUUUAGACAUCGGCAUAACUGAGGGUAAUAACCAUAGCUGGGUACCCACGGUGGUUUAAAAUAAAAUAUCUUUGAAAAGUCUAAUAAAUGGCUGAAGUUUGUUAAAUCUAAAACUAUGCUGCUAUUUUAUCUGAUAUAAACUCAAAUUCUGCUUUCUAUAACUCUUAGCAUAUUCAACUGAGUAGCACCAAAAAUAAGGAUAUUUCACUUCACAAUUCAUGCUAGGAAAAACAUAUUUAAUAAAACUUAUUCAAGAUCAAAUAAUGAAAUUCAUUUAGAUAAACUCAUUUAUAAAAGAAAAGUCCACUCACUUUUGGUUCGAGCUAGCUGGACCUCUUGAAGGUCCCUCCUGCGGGUCGGUUUGGCCCCGGGUGCCUGAUUAACCAUGAAUAUUAAAUUAAUAAAACUGCUCAAUAAAAAUAUCAAAUUAAAACCCUGACCCCCGGCUCCUAAACACACGUGCACUAACUUUGAGUCAUUCCUAUGCCCACUUUAGCAUUUUAGACGUUUAAAACGGUUUUAAAAGGCAUGAGGCCUUAGUAAGCGAUAAACUGCUAGACCGGUCGAUCCGAAACCCCGUGGGGUCCACGACCUCGAAUGGCCGAAUUGGACGGUUGGAUUGACCACAAUCGUGUGAUCGCUUAAUUUCCAAACCCUAGCCCCAGGGUUCGCGAUUUCGGAGUAUCCGGGACUCCGAUUUGCAAUUCGUUGAAUCCUACACGGUUCUGAAAUUAUGUAGAAUAACAUAUCCGAAUUUGAGUGCGAUCCAACGGCUCGACAGUAUUGAACCCGAAAAUCGCACAAUAUGAAAAAUCCGUUCGGGGCUCAAACGGUAUCCAAAUUGAGAUCCGCAAAAUCCUACGCGUUCGUGACAACACGAGGAUCGCAAAAAUACACAAGGUCACUGCACUACCCUUACCCACGCGCCGCCACACGCGACGGCAGAGGUGGGUGUCCAAAGCAAUAACGUCUCGUCGGAAAAACUCAACAAAAUCGAAGGAGAAUUGAAGGAGAACGAAGGGUUGGAUGUUUAGCCCAAAAUCGGUCGAAUUUCUCCUUUUUUCGGCUAGCUCCGGUCGGCUCGUGGGCGGAGAUCGGUCGGGAUGUGACGGCGAGGUCGAGGCGGUUCCGUUGGCACCGGCGCCGUGGCUCGGGGUGGCUUGUGGCGACGGCUGGAUUGAUCGGAAGGAGGGGCGGCUGGCUCGCGCGCGCGGGAGAGAGAGAGAGACAGGGAGGAGAGAGAAACUGAGGGGGAAGAGAGAGAGAAGGGAUAAAAAUCUGAUUUUUGUCCAAAUUACCAUUUUGCCCUUCACGGUAUUUUGAUCGUAUUUUCUUCGUUACAACUCCGAUUCGAGUCCACUCCGUGUCUAUGGACUCGUUUCGUCGUGCUCUACGCAACGGUGUAAGUGAAAUUGUCAAAUUACUUCUUGGUCAAAAAGUCAACUUUUUCCCCAAUAAAAUAUGGUGAGGGCAAAAUCGUCCUUUUCCCAAAAUAAAUUAAUAAUUAAUUAAGGAUUUUUGUUUUGGGUUGUUACAAUCUACCCCCCUUAAAAAAAAUUUCGUCCUCGAAAUUUACAUACCUGUUACUCGAAGAGGUAAGGAUACUGUUCCCGCAUUUGAUCCUUAGGUUCCCAUGUGGCCUCUUCCACAUUAUAACUCCUCCAUAAGACCUUCACAAGUGGAAUCUCCCUCGAACGCAAAACUUGCAUCUUCCGAUCUAAAAUCUGAACUGGUUGCUUGACAUAAGUCAAAUCUUCUUGUAACUCUAUCGGUUGUUCCUCCAACACAUGAGAAGGAUCAGAAAUGUAUCUCCGGAGCAUCGAGACAUGAAACACAUCGUGCAACCGGGAAAGAUCUGAAGGCAAGGCAAGUCUGUAAGCUACUGGGCCUACACGCUCCACAAUCUCGUAAGGUCCAAUAUAGCGAGGACUUAGUUUCCCUCGCCUUCCGAACCGCACUACGCCGUUCCAAGGUGAUAACUUCAGAAAUACCCAGUCACCAACCUCAAACUGGAGGUCUUUUCUUCUGUUGUCUGCAUAGCUCUUUUGUCUGUCCUGGGCCGUUUUGAGUCGUUCUCGAAUUAAUUUCACUUGUUCCUUCAUCCAUUCGACAUCAUCUGCCACUUCCAAUCUGUGUUCGCCUACUUCAUCCUAGUAGAAUAGAGUUCUACACUGUUUUCCGUAUAUGGCAUCAAAUGGGGACAUUCUGAUACUCGCCUGGUAGCUGUUAUUGUAGGCAAACUCCAUAAGUGGCAACUUCUCAUCCCAGUCAUCCCGAAACUGCAGUGCACAAGCUCUCAACAUAUCUUCUAAAGUCUGAAUCGUCCUCUCAGACUGACCGUCUGUCUGAUGAUGAAAGGCAGUGCUAAACUGCAACUGGGUUCCGAAUGCUUCAUUUAACUUUGUCCAAAAACGGGAAGUAAACCGUGGAUCUCUAUCAGAAGUAAUAGAUACUGGCACCCCAUGAAGUCUCACUAUCUCAUCUAUGAAGAGCUUCGCCAACUUAUUUAACGUGUAGCUUGCUCUUACCGGUAAGAAAUAGGCAGACUUCGUGAGUCGAUCCACAAUCACCCAAACUCCAUCAUGCUUAUUCUGUGUUCGAGGGAGCUUGAAUACGAAAUCCAUAGUCAGAUGCUCCCACUUCCAUUCAGGAAUUGGAAGUGGUUGUAACAGCCCUGAUGGUUUCUGCCGUUCCGCUUUCACCUGCUGACAAAUCAAGCACUUCCUGACAUAUUCUGCUAUCUCUUUCUUCAUGAAAGGCCACCAGUAGUGCUCUCUCAAAGUAUGGUACAUUUUAGUAUUUCCAGGGUGCAUUGCAAAGGCUGAACUGUGGGCUUCCUCGAGAAUUUCCCUCUUUAGAGCUUCAUCAUUAGGAACAUACAACCUGGUACCCACCAUUAGAGCUCCAUCAUUUCUAACUGAACAGUCAGUUCUGUCACCACUUUCCACCUCUGCUCGUAGGGUGCAAAUCAAGGGAUCCUGUGCUUGAGCGGCGAGUAUUCGUUCUAUUAGUACUGGUCUCACCUGGAGAGUAGCUAACAGUGCUCCCUGCUCAUCCACACCCAGCUCAACUCUGAGCUUUCUCAGUUCUAUCAUCAACAGUACGUAUCUCCCUCGGAGAUAAGCUACUGAGCCAGAAGAUUUCCUGCUGAGUGCAUCAGCUGCAACAUUAGCUCUCCCCGGAUGGUGCUCAAUGAUACAAUCAUAGUCCUUGAUCAACUCUAGCCAUCUUCUUUGCCUUAGAUUUAACUCCUUCUGAGUGAAUAAAUACUUUAAGCUCUUGUGAUCUAUAAAAAUCUGGCAUGUUGCUCCGUACAGGUAGUGCCGCCAAAUCUUCAAAGCAAACACCACUGCUGCCAACUCCAAAUCAUGAACAGGGUAAUUCAUCUUAUGCUUCUCUAGCUGUUUAGAAGCAUAAGCAAUAACCCGACCAUGUUACAUUAGCACACACCCAAGUCCCUGUUGGGAUGCAUCACUGUAGAUAACCAAGUUCCCACUAUCAUCUGGAAGUGUCAAAACCGGAGCAGUGGUUAACCUGGUUUUGAGUUCGUUGAAGCUUUUCUCACACUCAUCUGACCAUUCAAACUUAACUCCUUUUCUUGUCAAACGAGUGAGAGGCGCCUCUAUAGUAGAAAAGCCUUUCACGAAGCGACGAUAAUCCUGGCAGGUCUCGGGACACCAAGUCAAUCCGAGCCGCAAAUCCUGGCAGGUCUCGGGACACCAAGUCAAUCCGAGCCGCAAAUCCUGGCACUCACAGUCCGGGCGUCCCCGAAACUCGUGAGGCAAAUGUCAAGUGCACUGACAAAACUGAGGGUAAACUAGAUGUCCUUAGACAUCGGCAUAACUGAGGGUAAUAACCAUAGCUGGGUACUCACGGUGGUUUAAAAUAAAAUAUCUUUGAAAAGUCUAAUAAAUAGCUGAAGUUUGUUAAAUCUAAAACUAUGCUGCUAUUUUAUCUGAUAUAAACUCAAAUUCUGCUUUCUAUAACUCUUAGCAUAUUCAACUGAGCAGCACCAAAAAUAAGGAUAUUUCACUUCACAAUUCAUGCUAGGAAAAACAUAUUUAAUAAAACUUAUUCAAGAUCAAAUAAUGAAAUUCAUUUAGAUAAACUCAUUUAUAAAAAAAAAGUCCACUCACUUCUGGUCCGAGCUAGCAGGACCUCUUGAAGGUCCCUCCUGCGGGUCGGUCUGGCCCCGGGUGCCUGAUUAACCAUGAAUAUUAAAUUAAUAAAACUGCUCAAUAAAAAUAUCAAAUUAAAACCCUGACCCCCGGCUCCUAAACACACGUGCACUAACUUUGAGUCAUUCCUAUGCCCACUUUAGCAUUUUAGACGUUUAAAACAGUUUUAAAAGCCCUGAGGCCUCAGUAAGCGAUAAACUGCUAGACCGGUCGAUCCGGAAUCCCGUGGGGUCCACGACCUCCAAUGGCCGAUCUGGGAUUCCUUAAAGGUUCCUCACAGAGAAAUACCCAUAUCCUGCUAGUUUAGCCCGAAUUGGACGGUUGGAUCGACCACAAUCGUGUGAUCGCUUAAUUUCCAAACCCUAGCCCUAGGGUUCUCGAUUUCGGAGUAUCCGGGACUCCGAUUUGCAAUCCAUUGAAUCCUACACGGUUAUGAAAUUAUGUAGAAUAACAUACCCGAAUUUGAGUGCGAUCCAACGGCUCGACAGUAUUGAACCCGGGAAUCGCACAAUAUGAAAAAUCCGUUCGGGGCUCAAACGGUAUCCAAAUUGAGAUCCGCAAAAUCCUACGCGCUCGUGACAACACGAGGAUCGCAAAAAUACACAGGGUCACUGCACUACCCUCACCCACGCGCCGCCACACGCGCCGGCAGCGGUGGGUGUCCAAAGUGAUAAUGUCUCGCCGGAAAAACUCAAAACCACGGCUCCAAACUCCUAUCCUAGGUAAAACACCACAUUUGGAGCCACUUUUGUUCUUGGACAUACCCCAAAAACUGGCCGGAAACGGCCGAUCACGGAGGCCGAAACUCGGCCGAAUUUCAAAUCCAAAACUGGGCAAUCUACGGUUAAAAUUGAUGAAAACCUAUCCAACCAUCAGUUAGAGCACGAAAAAUAGGUGAGAAUCCAUACCUUACUCGAUAAAAUCGGAGGAGAAUUGAAGGAGAACGAAGGGUUGGAAGUUUAGCCCAAAACCGGUCGGAUUUCUCCUCUUUCCGGCCAGCUUCGGUCGGCUCGUGGGCGGAGAUUGGUCGGGAUGUGACGGCGAGGUCGAGGUGGUUCCGUUGGCACCGGCACCGUGGCUCGGUUGGAUUGAUCGGAAGGAGGGGGUCGGCUGGCUCGCGCGCGGGAGAGAGAGAGAGAGAGAGAGGGAGGAGAGAGAAACUGAAGGGGAAGAGAGAGAGAAUGGAUAAAAAUCUGAUUUUUGUCUAAAUUACCAUUUUGCUCUUCACGGUAUUUUGAUCGUAUUUUCUUCGUUACAACUCCAAUUCGAGUCCACUCCGGGCUCGUUUGGUACACAGGACUGUCUUGGCAUGAACUAUGCUUAGGGACUGGCUUGGCUUGGCUUGGC
rnacentral:lncRNA from 1 species